rnacentral:rRNA from 1 species
AUUGAACGCUGGCGGCAGGCCUAACACAUGCAAGUCGAGCGGUAACAGGGGUAGCUUGCUACCCGCUGACGAGCGGCGGACGGGUGAGUAAUGCAUAGGAAUUUACCCGAUAGUGGGGGAUAACCUGGGGAAACCCAGGCUAUUACCGCAUACGUCCUACGGGAGAAAGGGGGCUUCGGCUCCCGCUAUCGGAUGAGCCUAUGUCGGAUUAGCUGGUUGGUGAGGUAAUGGCUCACCAAGGCGACGAUCCGUAGCUGGUCUGAGAGGAUGAUCAGCCACAUCGGGACUGAGACACGGCCCGAACUCCUACGGGAGGCAGCAGUGGGGAAUAUUGGACAAUGGGGGCAACCCUGAUCCAGCCAUGCCGCGUGUGUGAAGAAGGCCCUCGGGUUGUAAAGCACUUUCAGUGAGGAAGAACGCCUGAUGGUUAAUACCCGUCAGGAAAGACAUCACUCACAGAAGAAGCACCGGCUAACUCCGUGCCAGCAGCCGCGGUAAUACG